AACGAACGCUGGCGGCGUGCCUAACACAUGCAAGUCGUGCGAGAAAGUUCCUUCGGGAACGAGUACAGCGGCGGACGGGUGAGUAACACGUGAGCGAUCUACCCGACGCGGGGGACAACCCAGGGAAACUUGGGCUAAUACCGCGUACAGCGGAGGGAGUGAAGACCCUCUGUGAAAGCUGGCCUCUCCUUGGAAGCUAGCGCCGUCGGAUGAGCUCGCGGCCUAUCAGCUUGUUGGUGGGGUAACGGCCUACCAAGGCGAAGACGGGUGGCUGGCGUGAGAGCGUGGUCAGCCACACUGGGACUGAGACACGGCCCAGACUCCUACGGGAGGCAGCAGUGGGGAAUAUUGCGCAAUGGGCGAAAGCCUGACGCAGCGACGCCGCGUGGGGGAGGAAGGCCUUCGGGUUGUAAACCCCUGUCAGAUGGGACGAACCGCAAAUCGGCCAAUAGGCGAUUUGUCUGACGGUACCAUCAGAGGAAGCUCCGGCUAACUCCGUG
rnacentral:rRNA from 1 species